UCUAAGAAACGACAAUUACAUUGAGUUCGGGUGUAUACACUAUUUACGAUAGUUUCCUUUAGAGUUUAGGCCGUCCUCUUUCUGUAACAGUGAGUUUAGUCCAGGUAAUGAUCCAUUCCUCUCCAUCUCUUCUUCUAUUCUAAGUGAAAGGAUCGACCGCCGGACUCCCUGCCCCGCCAGGCGCCAGCCAGCCGGAGCUGGAAGCGCCUCCCCGGACUGAGGCCGUCGACCCCAGGCACAUCACCGUUCGGCUCCUCCUCCCCGGAUCUCCGAUGCACGCCAAACCUGCAGCAGAGCGCCGUCGCCGCAGCGGCCAGAUCCACCUCCUAGCCACCGUCCCAGACCUGCAGGUGCCUCCCCAUGACCUGCACGUCCAUCCGGCCGGCAUCCUCCCCACCCCCAGCGAUGAAGGAGGGCAAUCUGGGACUCAUAUCACACGAAGAUCUUCUGCGAAAUAGGCAAAGAUGAAACGGCUGCUGGCAAUAGCUAGUCUGGGUGUGUGCUUGAGUGCCGAAGGUCACAAGAACCCUGAGCUUCCCAAUUCUAGGAUAGAGCUGGGCAGAGGUAUGUGAAGAAGCGGUUCAAGCAUAGAUGGGACUCACUAAAGCAGCAGUACAGAGGAUGGAUGAAACCCAAAUCUUCAAGGGGGAUUGGAUCAGAUCCUCAAAGCGGAAUCUUUGGGGCUGAUGACGGUUGUUGGAAGAAUCACAUUGCAGUAACGUCACACAUCGGGAUCGUAACUAAUUCCCCAUUAUUUAUCCUUUUUUCAUGUAUGAACCGACUCAUUGGUAUCUUGCUCUUAUUUUCAGAGAAACCCAGAUUCAGGACAGCAAAUGUCACCGGUGAAUCAUCCAUUGCCCCUGGAGAGGACUUGGGAAGAAGACAUGGAGGAUGAUACUCCAGCCAGUAUUAACGACGGGUCAGACGACGGCUAUGUGCUUGCUGCAUCUGCUGAGGCAUCCUCUUGCAACAAGGCUCCUCCUACCACGUUUCUGAGCCUCAAGGAAGACUCGAUUACAUGAUGACACCAGCAUGUGUGUGCAACUUUGCUCUAGCAAAUGGUUGUCAUAUCUUUGUUCUGCUCCUGAAUAUUUGAAUGAAGAAGCGUCAAGCACCACGUGCACAUUUGUCCAA